rnacentral:lncRNA from 1 species
UAGGGGCUUCAAAGGGACAGAACAGGAGGUUUUCUCCUUUUUCGGCCACCGCAUACGGCCGUACCGCCGUCGGAGAUCGGCGACCGGCGCGGUGGCCGAUGACCGACCGAUGGUCAGACUGGAUGCCGGAGAGUGGGGAGGGGAGAGCCUUUUAGAGGAUUUUUUUUUGUUUUUUUUGAAGGAAUGAGAAAAUGAAAUUUUUUAAGGUUUUUUUGGCUUAAAUAGCCUAGUGAAACGGCGCCGUUUCACUAGGCCUCCCCAAAUGCCAAAACGGCGUCGUUUUUUUGGGGAGGCCUGUAACACCCCUUACCCGUAUCCAACACCGGAAUAGGGUACGAGGCAUUACCAAAACACAUACGCUUGUAAACGUAUUUAAG